rnacentral:rRNA from 1 species
AACGUAGGAGACGACCGUUAUCCGGAGUUACUGGGCGUAAAGGGCGUGUAGGCGGUUUGUUAAGUCUGGCGUGAAAGCUCUCGGCUAAACCGGGAGAGGUCGUUGGAUACUGGCGAACUAGAGGAUGGUAGAGGCGUGUGGAAUUCCGGGUGUAGUGGUGAAAUGCGUAGAGAUCCGGAGGAACCCCAGUGGCGAAGGCGCCACGCUGGGCCAUACCUGACGCUAAAGCGCGACAGCAUGGGGAGCAAACGGG